rnacentral:rRNA from 1 species
GGCAUGCGCGACAUUAGCUAGUUGGUGAGGUAACGGCUCACCAAGGCUGCGAUGUCUAGGGGUUCUGAGAGGAUUCACCCCCCACACUGGUACUGAGACACGGACCAGACUCCUACGGGAGGCAGCAGUAAGGAAUAUUGGUCAAUGGACGCAAGUCUGAACCAGCCAUGCCGCGUGCAGGAAGACAGCCCUACGGGUUGUAAACUGCUUUUGUACGGGAAAAAACCUCCGGUCGUGCACCGGAGCUGAUGGUACCGUAAGAAUAAGCAUCGGCUAACUCCGUGCCAGCAGCCGCGGUAAUACGGAGGAUGCAAGCGUUAUCCGGAUUCAUUGGGUUUAAAGGGUGCGCAGGCUGAAUGAUAAGUCAGUGGUGAAAUCCUACGGCUCAACCGUAGAACUGCCAUUGAUACUGUCGUUCUUGAGUACACUUGAAGUGGGCGGAAUGUGUCAUGUAGCGGUGAAAUGCUUAGAUAUGACAAGGAACACCGAUCGCGAAGGCAGCUCACUAAAGUGUUACUGACGCUCAGGCACGAAAGCGUGGGGAUCAAACAGGAUUAGAUACCCUGGUAGUCCACGCCGUAAACGAUGAGUGCUAGAUGUCGGGGAGCAUGCUCUUCGGUGUCGCAGCUAACGCAUUAAGCACUCCGCCUGGGGAGUACGGCCGCAAGGUUAAAACUCAAAGGAAUUGACGG